rnacentral:rRNA from 1 species
UACAGAGGGUGCGAGCGUUAAUCGGAAUUACUGGGCGUAAAGGGCGCGUAGGCGGCCUGAUAAGUAGGGGGGUGAAAUCCUGCGGCUUAACCGCAGGGCUGCCUUCUAAACUGUCAGGCUAGAGCACAGUAGAGGCAGGUGGAAUUCCCGGUGUAGCGGUGGAAUGCGUAGAGAUCGGGAAGAACAUCAGUGGCGAAGGCGGCCUGCUGGGCUGUUGCUGACGCUGAGGCGCGACAGCGGUGGGGGAGCAAACAGG